rnacentral:rRNA from 1 species
AAAAAUGUAAAUAAUUAGUUAAAUUAGUGUAAGUUAUGAUCUUUAAAAUUAAAAAAUUUGGCGGUAUUUUAGUCUUUUCAGAGGAACCUGUUAUGUAAAUGAUACUCCACGAGAUAGUCUAUUUAAUUUAGAAGUUUGUAUAUCGUUGUUGUAGAAAAUUUUAAGAGAAAGUGAAUUUUCACAAAGUUUGAUUUAAGAAUAUUUCAAAUCAAGGUGCAGCUAAUAGUUAAGAAUAAAUGGGUUACAUUAAAUUUAGUUUGGGAUUAUUAAUUUGGAAAAUUAAAUGAAUUUGGAUUUGGAAGUAAUUUAAUUGUUUAAUUUAGAUGAUUUUAGCUCUAAAAUAUGC